CUAUUGGGGAGGGCUCUUCUUGGCGUGAUGAUGGUGAUGGUGGUGGAAGGGCUGAGGGGGGCGAGUUCAGAACUUUGCCUGGACUGGGAGGGUGGGAGGACCUGGAGGGAGGGAUAAAAGUCGUUUUGUUUGGUGAUGCCGAGUUGACCCAGCAGCCUUGGAAGCCCUCACCCGGGAAGGCAGCGAGCUGUUUGCCUGUUUACAGCGAAGGGCCGAGGAUUAAGUGUGAAGGAGGAUUCUGGCAGUUGGGCUGAACAAAGACAUAAGACAUGUUUAAUCCUCAGCAGGAUGCUUGGCAUAUACUGGCGAUUGCAGAAAACAUGGGCAUCUUCAUGAGACAAUAGUAAAAUACAUACAAAGGAGAAACUUAAUAUGAGCCUCUGAAAAUGCAUUGAUUACAGACAGGACCAACUUUGUGAGUGCUGCUGGAAAUUAUCACUAUGGAUCCUUUUUUCUGAGGUAAGAGGCAAGGGAACUGACAUGAACCAAAACCUUAAAGGCUAUCUCACCUUACGUUCAAGAAAAUCCUCUGAGGUGAGCAUGUGAACAUCUUUCUAAACUCAGGAAGUUGGAGUUCAGUGAAGUUAAGCAACUCGCUCAAGAUUAGGCAGUUAGUAUGUGACAAAACAAGGCGUCUAACCCAGACCUAACUGCUCCCAAACCCAAAGUCUUUGCCCUUUCUACAUUUCUGCUACAUCGUCCUACCGUCCUGAGUUUCAACUCCCUUCAUGAGUGUUUGCUCUUGUUCUAUUUUCUUUAAUUGUUACCACCUUGCCUUUAUAGAGCCAGCC
rnacentral:lncRNA from 1 species